rnacentral:lncRNA from 1 species
UGACACUACUGACAAUCAGGAAAUGGCAGUUUUAGUACAGCUCGUUAGGUAAUAGGGAAGACGCUGGUUCUCCCCAGUCAGCGAGUAUCUCCGAAGGCACCAGGGGCCAGCCAGGGAAGCUCUGCCCAAGGUGGAGGGGUGUGGCUGUGUGUGUGUGGUGACACACGGUGAACACCCAAGCUAUGCUGCGCCCGGCCAGUUGUGUAACGCUGGGUGAGUCAAAGAGCGUGCUUCCCAGAACGUCAGCGGCUCGUUUCCUCCCAGGAACUGGCACCAGUAUGUCACCGGCUCCAGUCAGCACCGUCCCACAAGUCUGCUUGACUCUGGCAUUGGUACUGAAACUAAUCACACUGCUCACCCAUCGUCCCGGGACAGUAGGGGAUCAGCUCUCCUCCUAUCUGCAGCUCUCCAGGAAGAAUCAAGGAGUCAUCAACCCCAGCUCAAAAUCUUGGUUAAGCAUCUUAAUACUUGGAGAACUACAAACAGAGUUAAUCCCUGAGUCUCCAUUUUUUAAAAUUUUCUUUUUUAUUUUAAAGAGAAUAAAAUAAGAAAAUAAAAUAACAACAUAGGCAAAAACAAAACAAAGCAGAAACAAAAAAAAUGACUCAGUGUUUCAACACAAAAUGAUAGGAAUUAACGGUGGUUGUUAUGUUACAUAUUGUCAUCUUUCAACGAAGUUGCUCAGAUUGCCAGAUGUAAGAAUGCAAGAUUGAUCAAGCCAUUAAAGAG